GACGAACGCUGGCGGCGUGCUUAACACAUGCAAGUCGAACGGAAAGGCCCUGCUUUUGUGGGGUGCUCGAGUGGCGAACGGGUGAGUAACACGUGAGUAACCUGCCCUUGACUUUGGGAUAACUUCAGGAAACUGGGGCUAAUACCGGAUAGGAUCUCCUGCUGCAUGGUGGGGGUUGGAAAGUUUCGGCGGUUGGGGAUGGACUCGCGGCUUAUCAGCUUGUUGGUGGGGUAGUGGCUUACCAAGGCUUUGACGGGUAGCCGGCCUGAGAGGGUGACCGGCCACAUUGGGACUGAGAUACGGCCCAGACUCCUACGGGAGGCAGCAGGGGGGAAUAUUGCACAAUGGGCGGAAGCCUGAUGCAGCAACGCCGCGUGCGGGAUGACGGCCUUCGGGUUGUAAACCGCUUUCGCCUGUGACGAAGCGUGAGUGACGGUAAUGGGUAAAGAAGCACCGGCUAACUACGUG
rnacentral:rRNA from 1 species